rnacentral:rRNA from 1 species
GAGAGUUGAUUAUGGCUCAGAACGAACGCUAGCAGCGUGGAUUAGGCAUGCAAGUCGAACGGGAUCCGGAAGGUAGCAAUAUCGGCCGGUGAGAGUGGCGGAAGGGCGAGGAACACGUGGGCAACCUGUCUCUGAGGUGGGGAAAACCGUUGGAAACGACGGCUAAUACCGAAUGUAGCGCCCGCUCGCAUGAGCGGAGCGCCAAAGGGGGCGAAAGCUCCCCCUCUCCGAGGGGCCCGCGCACCAUCAGCUUGUUGGCGGGGUAACGGCCCACUAAGGCUCACGGUUAGCUGGUCUGAGAGGAUGGCCAGCCGCACUGGGACUGAGAUACUGCCCAGACUCCUACGGGAGGCUGCAGUCGAGGAUCAUUUGCAAUGGGCGAAAGCCUGACAAUGCGACGCUGCGUGGAGGAUGAAGGCCCUCGGGUUGUAAACUCCUGUCAUGGGGGAAAAGGAAAAGGGACCCAACACGUCCCCGAUUUGAUGGUACCCCAAGAGGAAGCGACGGCUAACUCUGUGCCAGCAGCGGC